rnacentral:ncRNA from 1 species
UUCUUCGGGGCAGGGUGUGAUUCCCAACCGGCGGUAAAGUCCGCGAACUGGUCAUUGAAGAAUUUCUGGUCAGAGAUAUCUGGACAGAUGUUAUCAAUGUGAUGAUCAGCCGAUCUGGUGAGAUUCCGGAACCGACAGUAAAGUCUGGAUGAGAGAAGGA